rnacentral:lncRNA from 1 species
AUUCCCCCUCUCAUAUCUUCUACCCUCCAGGCCAAUCUAUAUGUGUCCUCUGCAGAAUGGAAAGAUUUAAAAACAGCUACUCCAAGGCAUCUUAAUAACCUCUAAGUUGCACCCAGGAGAGUUGGUGCAGAAAAGGAAUUCUGGCCAACCUAAUUUGUAUUUGAAAAUACCCCAUAGGCCAACAGAACAAGAUUCAGAUGAAUUUCACAGGCAGCUGAGGGCUACACAAGAGGAAAAUAAUGAUGUGAACUCAUACUUAUCAGCUAUCUGAUACCCUGAGCCAGACCCCAGUGUAUUCCUCACAACACCCCAAAA